rnacentral:tRNA from 6 species
GCCCAUGUAGCUCAGUUGGUAGAGCAACUCCAUGGUAAGGAGUAGGUCGCCAGUUCAAAUCUGGCCGUGGGCU